rnacentral:tRNA from 1 species
GCAGUGGUGGUUCAGUGAUAGAAUUCUCACCUUCUAUGUGGGAGACUCAGGUUCAAUCCCAGCCAGUGCC